rnacentral:tRNA from 1 species
GGCCCCGUGGUGUAGCGGUCUAACAUGCUACCCUGUCACGGUAGAGAUCGGCGGUUCAAAUCCGCCCGGGGUCG